AUUGAACGCUGGCGGCAGGCCUAACACAUGCAAGUCGAACGGUAACAGGAAGCAGCUUGCUGCUUCGCUGACGAGUGGCGGACGGGUGAGUAAUGUCUGGGAAACUGCCUGAUGGAGGGGGAUAACUACUGGAAACGGUAGCUAAUACCGCAUAACGUCGCAAGACCAAGGAGGGGGACCUUAGGGCCUCUUGCCAUCGGAUGUGCCCAGAUGGGAUUAGCUAGUAGGUGGGGUAACGGCUCACCUAGGCGACGAUCCCUAGCUGGUCUGAGAGGAUGACCAGCCACACUGGAACUGAGACACGGUCCAGACUCCUACGGGAGGCAGCAGUGGGGAAUAUUGCACAAUGGGCGCAAGCCUGAUGCAGCCAUGCCGCGUGUAUGAAGAAGGCCCUCGGGUUGUAAAGUACUUUCAGCGGGGAGGAAGGGAGUAAAGUUAAUACCUUUGCUCAUUGACGUUACCCGCAGAAGAAGCACCGGCUAACUCCGUG
rnacentral:rRNA from 1 species